GUUCUAGUAUAAGUAUUUCCUAUGCAAUAUUUGGGGCAUAGUUAUACUAAAA
rnacentral:pre_miRNA from 1 species